rnacentral:tRNA from 2 species
GGGUCGUUAGCUCAGUUGGUAGAGCAGUCGACUUUUAAUCAAUUGGUCGCAGGUUCGAAUCCUGCACGACCCACCA